rnacentral:misc_RNA from 1 species
CGGAACAAGGUUUCCGUAGGUAACCUGCGAAGGAUCAUUGACACGUAUCCAACCCCGUGAACUUUCAUGUAGCCCGUGAGCAGCAUCUGCAGAUUGUGAUAUUUUAUAGCUACGGUUGAGCGAUUGCAUCUAGUGACCUGGCAUCCCCUAAUCAGUGGAAUAAGGAUGGCGCAGUCACGAUCGCUGUAGGCCCACACGGUCACCGGUCUGCCCCUUUACGAUAACUACAGCCUAACUUCGCCGACCAAAAACCGAACAACUGUUAACAAUGGAUAUCUUGGUUCUC